rnacentral:rRNA from 1 species
GAUUAACGCUGGCGGCGUGCCUAACACAUGCAAGUCGAACGAGGUAGCAAUACCUAGUGGCAGACGGGUGAGUAACGCGUGGUCAACCUACCGUUGAGUGGGGGAUAACUAGCCGAAGGUUAGCUAAUACCGCAUACGUCUCCGAGUGGCAUCACUUGGCGAUAAAAGGAGCAAUCCGCUCGAUGACGGGACCGCGUCCCAUUAGCUAGAUGGUGGGGUAACGGCCUACCAUGGCACCGAUGGGUAGCUGGUUUGAGAGAGCGACCAGCCACACUGGGACUGAGAAACGGCCCAGACUCCUACGGGAGGCAGCAGUGAGGAAUUUUCCGCAAUGGGCGCAAGCCUGACGGAGCGACGCCGCGUGU